GAUGAACGCUAGCGGGAGGCUUAACACAUGCAAGUCGAGCGGUAGGGCAGCAAUGCCUGAGAGCGGCGCACGGGUGCGUAACGCGUAUGCAACCUGCCUUAUACAGGGGAAUAGCCCAUGGAAACGUGGAUUAAUGUCCCAUAGGAUUACGGAUUCGCAUGGAUUUGUGAUUAAAACUGAGGUGGUAUAAGAUGGGCAUGCGUCUGAUUAGGUAGUUGGUGAGGUAAUGGCUCACCAAGCCGACGAUCAGUAGGGGUUCUGAGAGGAUUACCCCCCACACUGGUUCUGAGACACGGACCAGACUCCUACGGGAGGCAGCAGUGAGGAAUAUUGGUCAAUGGCCGGAAGGCUGAACCAGCCAUCCCGCGUGCAGGAUGACGGCCCUAUGGGUUGUAAACUGCUUUUGUACCUGAAGAAACCUGGUUACGUGUAACCAGUUGCCGGUAAGGUAUGAAUAAGCAUCGGCUAACUCCGUGCCAGCAGCCGCCGUAAGAC
rnacentral:rRNA from 1 species